CAAUAGCGUAUAUUAAAGUUGUUGCAGUUAAAAAGCUCGUAGUUGAACUUGUGGUGGCCCCUGUGGUCCGUUCUCGGUACUUUCGGGGGCUGCCAUCCUUGGGUGGAUCCUGUGUGGCAUUAGGUUGUCGUGCAGGGGAUGCCUGUCAUUUACUGUGAAAAAAUUAGAGUGUUCAAAGCAGGCUUAUGCCGCUGAAUAUAUUAGCAUGGAAUAAUAAGAUAGGAUCUUGGUACUAUUUUGUUGGUUUGCGCACCGAGAUAAUGAUUAAUAGGGACAGUUGUGGGUAUUCGUAUUCCAUCGUCAGAGGUGAAAUUCUUGGAUUGUUGGAAGACGAACGAAUGCGAAAGCAUUUACCAAGGAUGUUUUCAUUAA
rnacentral:rRNA from 1 species